rnacentral:rRNA from 1 species
GAUGAACGCUGGCGGCGUGCCUAAUACACGCAAGUCGAGCGAACAGACGAGGAGCUUGCUCCUCUGAUGUUAGCGGCGGACGGGUGAGUAACACGUGGAUAACCUACCUAUAAGACUGGGAUAACUUCGGGAAACCGGAGCUAAUACCGGAUAACAUGUUGAACCGCAUGGUUCAACAGUGAAAGACGGUCUUGCUGUCACUUAUAGAUGGAUCCGCGCCGCAUUAGCUAGUUGGUAAGGUAACGGCUUACCAAGGCAACGAUGCGUAGCCGACCUGAGAGGGUGAUCGGCCACACUGGAACUGAGACACGGUCCAGACUCCUACGGGAGGCAGCAGUAGGGAAUCUUCCGCAAUGGGCGAAAGCCUGACGGAGCAACGCCGCGUGAGUGAAGAAGGUCUUCGGAUCGUAAAACUCUGUUAUUAGGGAAGAACAAAUGUGUAAGUAACUAUGCACGUCUUGACGGUACCUAAUCAGAAAGCCACGGCUAACUACGU